rnacentral:rRNA from 1 species
AAUGAACGUUGGCGGCGUGGAUUAGGCAUGCAAGUCGAGGGCGAACCCGCAAGGGGGAGACCGGCGAACGGGGUAGGAAUACGUAGGUAACGUACCCUUGGGACGGGGAUAGCCACGGGAAACUGUGGGUAAUACCCGAUGAUCUGCCUUUAUGUAAAGAGGGGCAGCAACUGGUGAGAUUCCGCCCAAGGAGCGGCUUACGCGACAUUAGCUAGUUGGUGAGGUAAUGGCUUACCAAGGCGACGAUGUCUAGGGGGUGUGAGAGCAUGGCCCCCACCACUGGCACUGAGACACUGGCCAGACACCUACGGGUGGCUGCAGUCGAGAAUCUUCGGCAAUGGGCGAAAGCCUGACCGAGCGACGCCGCGUGCGGGAUGAAGGCCUUCGGGUUGUAAACCGCUGUCGGGGGGGAUGAAGUAUACGAGAGCUAUCUCUUGUAUUUGACAGAGCCCCGGAGGAAGCACGGGCUAAGUUCGUGCCAGCAGCCACCGUAA